UACGUAGGGGGCAAGCGUUGUCCGGAUUUAUUGGGCGUAAAGAGCGUGUAGGCGGUUAGGUAGGUCCGUUGUGAAAACUCGAGGCUUAACCCCGAGCUGUCGGCGGAAACCAUCUGGCUAGAGUCCGGAAGAGGAGAAUGGAAUUCCCGGUGUAGCGGUGAAAUGCGCAGAUAUCGGGAAGAACACCCGUGGCGAAGGCGGUUCUCUGGGACGGUACUGACGCUGAGACGCGAAAGCGUGGGGAGCGAACAGG
rnacentral:rRNA from 1 species